GAGCUUGCUCAGAUAUGACGAUGGACAUUGCAAAGAGUGGCGAACGGGUGAGUAACACGUGGGAAACCUACCUCUUAGCAGGGGAUAACAUUUGGAAACAGAUGCUAAUACCGUAUAACAAUAGCAACCGCAUGGUUGCUACUUAAAAGAUGGUUCUGCUAUCACUAAGAGAUGGUCCCGCGGUGCAUUAGUUAGUUGGUGAGGUAAUGGCUCACCAAGACGAUGAUGCAUAGCCGAGUUGAGAGACUGAUCGGCCACAAUGGGACUGAGACACGGCCCAUACUCCUACGGGAGGCAGCAGUAGGGAAUCUUCCACAAUGGGCGAAAGCCUGAUGGAGCAACGCCGCGUGUGUGAUGAAGGGUUUCGGCUCGUAAAACACUGUUGUAAGAGAAGAAUGACAUUGAGAGUAACUGUUCAAUGUGUGACGGUAUCUUACCAGAAAGGAACGGCUAAAUACGUGCCAGCAGCCGCGGUAAUACGUAUGUUCCAAGCGUUAUCCGGAUUUAUUGGGCGUAAAGCGAGCGCAGACGGUUAUUUAAGUCUG
rnacentral:rRNA from 1 species